rnacentral:rRNA from 1 species
AAAAACAUUGCUUCUUGAACAAUAUAAGAAGUAGUUCCUGCCCAGUGACAAGUUCAACGGCCGCGGUAUCCUAACCGUGCAAAGGUAGCAUAAUCACUUGCCCAUUAAUUGUGGGCUAGAAUGAACGGACUAACGAAAUAAAGACUGUCUCCAUAGGCCCCCAUAUAAAUUAAUAUCUAACUGAAGAGUGUUAGAUUUUAUCGAAGGACAAGAAGACCCUAUAGAGCUUCAUUUUAACAUAAAAAAAAAUUUUUUUUAUGAUAUAAUUCGGUUGGGGCGACCAGGGAAGUUGUUAAUCAUCCCUUCUAAAAGAUUUAUUAAUCUUAAUCACGACCCUUAAAUAAGAUCAUAAGACCAAGCUACCUUAGGGAUAACAGGCUAAUUUUCCUAGAGAGUCCUUAUCAAUAGGAGAGUUUGGCACCUCGAUGUUGGCUUAGGGAAUCUAUAUGGCGCAAAAGCCAUAUAAAGAUGGUUUGUUCAACCAGUAACCCCUACAUGAUCU